rnacentral:lncRNA from 1 species
CACCACAUCCAAAACACCUCAUACAAGGAUCAAAGAACCAAGUUAAGAAGUGAACCAAAAUAUGCAUCCACGUACACAAGGUAUCAUGGUGAUCUCAGGUCAAAGGAUCACUUACACAACUUUCACUAGAGAACAAUCAGCGGAUAUGUAAAUAAGACUCCAUCAGAUAUUCUUUCAUAGGUCUAUUCAGUGAACUCAUUCUCUAAUGAGUACCUACAUCUUUGUAUUAGUAUUACCAUAC